GAGUAAAUUAUCAUGACAGAUAAAUACUACAAUUGUUACUCAUCAGCGACUGAAAAUCACUUUGGUUCUAAAAGCAGUCAAAACUAAUGAUAGUUUUCUAAUGGAUACAGGCAAUUGUUGACACAGUGGACAACCUUCUGAGACCUGAAGCUUUGGAAUCAUGGAAACAUAUGAAUUCUUCUGAACAAGCACAUACUGCAACAAUGUUACUCGAUACAUUGGAAGAAGGAGCUUUUGUCCUAGCUGACAAUCUUUUAGAACCAACAAGGGUCUCAAUGCCCACAGAAAAUAUUGUCCUGGAAGUUGCCGUACUCAGUACAGAAGGACAGAUCCAAGACUUUAAAUUUCCUCUGGGCAUCAAAGGAGCAGGCAGCUCAAUCCAACUGUCUGCAAAUACUGUCAAACAGAACAGCAGGAAUGGGCUUGCAAAGUUGGUGUUCAUCAUUUACCGG
rnacentral:sRNA from 1 species